GGUGGGAUACUCAAGUGGUCAACGAGGGCAGACUGUAAAUCUGCUGGCCUUUCGGCCUACACAGGUUCGAAUCCUGUUCCCACCACCA
rnacentral:tRNA from 1 species